rnacentral:rRNA from 1 species
GACGUAGGGUGCGAGCGUUUGUCCGGAUUUAUUGGGCGUAAAGAGCUCGUAGGCGGCUCGUCGCGUCGACCGUGAAAACUUGGGGCUUAACCCUAAGCUUGCGGUUGAUACGGGCGGGCUAGAGUUCGGUAGGGGAGACUGGAAUUCCUGGUGUAGCGGUGAAAUGCGCAGAUAUCAGGAGGAACACCGGUGGCGAAGGCGGGUCUCUGGGCCGAUACUGACGCUGAGGAGCGAAAGCGUGGGGAGCGAACAGG